UUCGCUAGUAAUCGCGCAUCAGCCAUGGCGCGGUGAAUACGUUCCCGGGCCUUGUACACACCGCCCGUCAAGCCAUGGGAGCCGGGGGCGCCUGAAGUCCGGGACCGCGAGGACCGGCCUAGGGCGAAACUGGUAACUGGGGCUAAGUCGUAACAAGGUAAC
rnacentral:rRNA from 1 species